rnacentral:rRNA from 1 species
UACGGAGGGUGCAAGCGUUAUCCGGAUUCACUGGGUUUAAAGGGUGCGUAGGUGGGAAUGUAAGUCAGUGGUGAAAUCUCCGUGCUUAACACGGAAACUGCCAUUGAUACUAUGUUUCUUGAAUUUUCUGGAGGUUAGCGGAAUAUGUCAUGUAGCGGUGAAAUGCUUAGAUAUGACAUAGAACACCAAUUGCGAAGGCAGCUAACUACAGGGAUAUUGACACUGAGGCACGAAAAGCGUGGGGAUCAAACAGG